rnacentral:rRNA from 1 species
GAUGAACGCUGGCGGCGUGCCUAAUACAUGCAAGUAGAACGCUGAAGGAAGGAGCUUGCUCUUUCCGGAUGAGUUGCGAACGGGUGAGUAACGCGUAGGUAACCUGCCUGGUAGCGGGGGAUAACUAUUGGAAACGAUAGCUAAUACCGCAUAACAGUAGAUGUUGCAUGAUAUCUACUUAAAAGGUGCAAUUGCACCACUACCAGAUGGACCUGCGUUGUAUUAGCUAGUUGGUGAGGUAACGGCUCACCAAGGCGACGAUACAUAGCCGACCUGAGAGGGUGAUCGGCCACACUGGGACUGAGACACGGCCCAGACUCCUACGGGAGGCAGCAGUAGGGAAUCGUCGGCAAUGGACGGAAGUCUGACCGAGCAACGCCGCGUGAGUGAAGAAGGUUUUCGGAUCGUAAAGCUCUGUUGUAAGAGAAGAACGAGUGUGAGAGUGGAAAGUUCACACUGUGACGGUAUCUUACCAGAAAGGGACGGCUAACUACGUG